rnacentral:rRNA from 1 species
CGAAGGAUCCAAGCGUUGUCCGGAUUUACUGGGUUUAAAGGGUGCGUAGGCGGACUUAUAAGUCAGUGGUGAAAGCCUUCAGCUUAACUGAAGAACUGCCAUUGAAACUGUAAGUCUCGAGUUCGGUUGAGGUCAUUGGAAUGUAACAUGUAGCGGUGAAAUGCAUAGAUAUGUUACAGAACACCGAUUGCGAAGGCAGAUGACUAAACCGAAACUGACGCUGAGGCACGAAAGCGUGGGGAUCAAACAGGAUUAGAUACCCUGGUAGUCCACGCCCUAAACGUUGAAUACUCGACCUUAGCGAUAUACAGUUAGGGUCCAAGCGAAAGCGUUAAGUAUUCCACCUGGGAAGUACGUUCGCAAGAAUG